rnacentral:rRNA from 1 species
UACGAGAGGCCCAAACGUUAUUCGGAAUUACUGGGCUUAAAGAGUCCGUAGGCGGCGCAGAAAGUAGGGUGUGAAAGCCCUCGGCUUAACCGAGGAAUUGCGCUCUAAACUACUGUGCUUGAGGAACCUAGAGGUGAGCGGAACUGAUGGUGGAGCGGUGAAAUGCGUUGAUAUCAUCAGGAACACCGGUGGCGAAGGCGGGUCUCUGGGCCGUAACUGACGCUGAGGAGCGAAAGCAUGGGGAGCGAACAGG